CAGCAGCCACGGUAAUACGAAGGGGGCUAGCGUUGUUCGGAUUUACCGGGCGUAAAGGGCGCGUAGGCGGACUGAUAAGUCAGGGGUGAAAUCCCAAGGCUCAACCUUGUAACUGCCUUUGAUACUGUUUGUCUUGAGUUCGAGAGAGGUAAGUGGAACUGCGAGUGUAGAGGUGAAAUUCGUAGAUAUUCGCAAGAACACCAGUGGCGAAGGCGGCCUACUGGCUCGAAACUGACGCUGAGGCGCGAAAGCGUGGGGAGCAAACAGGAUUAGAUACCCCAGUAGUCCCUGUCUCUUAUAC
rnacentral:rRNA from 1 species